CCGCUCACGUGACCGCGCGCCGGCCGGGGCGGGCCCCGCCGUGACGCCAGCGGCCGCCGCCCGGACCGGCCCCGCCGUGCCGCGGGCUGAGUGAGGCGUGCCGCGGCCGCGGCUGCCGGGGCAGGGCGGUGUGUGAAAGCCGACGGGUCCCCGGUGCUGCUGGCCCUCCGCCCCGCCCGCAGGAACCGGGGGGCUCCCGCCGCCGAGAGCCUCCGCCGCAUCCUGCAACCACGCAGAGCACCCGCGAGCCUGAGCGAUGCCCAAGUCCUGGAAAGCCCGUGGAGAUGAGUUUUUAAUUUUCCAUAGCCCAGUGGUGGUUGGCACCUCUGGGAUGUGCUCCUGGCCUAAGCAAUUGCCCUGCCCAAGCUGAGGCUGCAAUCAGCCAACACCCAUACCUGGAAAAUGGGGACGUGUUAAUAACCAGCACAAAUCCUGCUCUAACGCUGCCACGCCUGACUUCCUGCAUCACACACUCGAGUCCCGUGUACUGGUGUCACCUGAAUGCCACGAAGCUGAACUGAGGUGAGGCAGCAGGGAAGACAAAUGCCCUGGUGUUACCUGCAGUGCUCCAUGCUACAUCUCCCUUCUGGGGGGUCCCAAGCAGUCAGGAACCUGAGCGAUAAUUUGUGUGACUGGUGCUGCUGGAAACAGCUUGUCUGCCAAUUGAGUGAGUUUAGGAGGGUUAGGGUUGGAUGUGUUUUGCUGAGAAACACCAAGUAGUAACAACAGCUGCAGAAAACAGCACAUGCCAGAAAUAAAUGACAAUACUCCAGAAGUUGAAAAAAAAAUUAUAUUGUAAGUACAGUACAAAAAAGUCUGUGUAUAAUUGUAAUGUAAUCUGGACCAAACAGCAAAGAAAUAACAAAAAUAUAAAAACUGCUAAGUCUUGACAAAGUUUCCCUACAGUACCAAAUACCACAAGAUACAGAUUAUACAAAGUGUACAAAUUUUAAUAAAAAUACAAUACACCAGG